ACGGGCGUAGCUCAAUUGGCAGAGUAGUGGUCUCCAAAACCAUUGGUUGGGGGUUCGAGUCCCUCCGCCCGUGCCA
rnacentral:tRNA from 1 species